CGCGGCCUAUCAGCUUGUUGGUGGGGUAACGGCCUACCAAGGCUACGACGGGUAGCUGGCGUGAGAGCGUGAUCAGCCACACUGGGACUGAGACACGGCCCAGACUCCUACGGGAGGCAGCAGUGGGGAAUCUUGCGCAAUGGGCGAAAGCCUGACGCAGCGACGCCGCGUGGGGGAGGAAGGUCCUAGGAUUGUAAACCCCUGUCAGGUGGGACGAACCACGUGUCAACGAAUAAUCGGCGCGUCUGACGGUACCACCCGAGGAAGCUCCGGCUAACUCCGUGCCAGCCCCCGCGGUAAGACGGAUGGUGGAAACGUUGUUCGGAAUCACUGGGCAUAAAGCGCACGUAGGCGGUUCGGUCAGUCUGGUGUGAAAGCCCCCGGCUCAACCGGGGAACUGCAUUGGAUACUGCCGGACUCGAGGACGGUUGGGGUGAGUGGAACUCCUGGUGGAGCGGCGAACUGCGUAGAUAUCAGGAGGAACACCAGUGGCGAAAGCGACUCACUGGGCCGUUUCUGACGCUGAAGUGCGAAAGCUAGGGUAGCGAACGGGAUUAGAUACCCCGGUAGUCCUAGCCGUAAACGUUGGGCACUAUGUGUGGGGGACUCCUUGACGUCUGCCGUGCCCUACCUAACACAUUAGAUGCCCCGCCUGAUGAGUACGGAAUCUCUAC
rnacentral:rRNA from 1 species